UACGAAGGGGGCUAGCGUUGCUCGGAAUGACUGGGCGUAAAGGGCGCGUAGGCGGAUGGCACAGUCAGAUGUGAAAUUCCCGGGCUUAACCUGGGGGCUGCAUUUGAUACGUGUUGUCUAGAGUGAGGAAGAGGGUUGUGGAACUCCUAGUGUAGAGGUGGAAUUCGUAGAUAUUAGGAAGAACACCAGUGGCGAAGGCGACUCACUGGUCCGGUACUGACGCUGAGGUGCGAAAGCGUGGGGAGCAAACAGGG
rnacentral:rRNA from 1 species